UCCUGCAGCAGGCCGUGCUUGCGGACCCCUCUGGAGACUUCCCGAACCCUGUGGAUUUACAGUAAGAUGCAGUUUCCCUGGGGAG
rnacentral:sRNA from 1 species